GUGUUCACACUGGCAGCACAUACUCUAAAACUAGGACAAUACAAAGAAGAUUAGCAUGGCCCCUGUAAAAGGAUGACAUGAAAAUCCAGGAGCAUUCUAUAUCUUU